rnacentral:lncRNA from 1 species
UUUUUUUCAAAUGAGCCAUUUAAGGGGAGAUAACUCUUUUAGUACAAAAUUUAUAUUGGGCUAAUAGGGAAUUUUUUUAUUUUUACUUGUGGCAAGAAAACAAGUUCGGUGACACCAUGUUUUCUUUUUAUUUUCUUAAAACAUAUUAUGAAACCUAUCUUCUCACAAUUUAUUUCAAAAUUCUAUCUCAUAGAAUUUUUUGUAUGCACUCUUAUGUGUUUUUUCAUGAACAAACCAAC